rnacentral:rRNA from 1 species
GAUGAACGCUAGCGGCAGGCUUAAUACAUGCAAGUCGAGGGGUAGCAAGAUUGUAGCAAUACAAUUGUUGACGACCGGCAAACGGGUGCGGAACACGUACACAACCUUCCUACAAGUGGGGAAUAGCCCAGAGAAAUUUGGAUUAAUACCCCGUAACAUAGCGAUGUGGCAUCACAUUGCUAUUAUAGCUUCGGCGCUUGUUGAUGGGUGUGCGGCUGAUUAGAUAGUUGGCGAGGUAACGGCCCACCAAGUCUACGAUCAGUAGCUGAUGUGUGAGCAUGAUCAGCCACACGGGCACUGAGACACGGGCCCGACUCCUACGGGAGGCAGCAGUAAGGAAUAUUGGACAAUGGACGCAAGUCUGAUCCAGCCAUGCCGCGUGAAGGAUUAAGGUCCUCUGGAUUGUAAACUUCUUUUAUAAGGGACGAAAAAAGGUCUUUCUAGAUCGUCUGACGGUACCUUAUGAAUAAGCACCGGCUAACUCCGUGCCAGCCGCCGCAGUAAUAC